rnacentral:rRNA from 1 species
CAGUACAANGUCCGCAAUUAAGGUGAACCGCGRAAGGCUCAUUAAAUCAGUUAUGGUUCCUUAGAUCGUACCCACAUUUACUUGGAUACUGUGGUAAUUCUAGAGCUAAUACAUGCAAACAGAGCUCCAACCGGAAACGGAAGGAGCGCUUUUAUUAGAUCAAAACCAAUCGGUGGCGGUUUCCGUCAUCGUACAACUUGGUGACUCUGAAUAACUUUAAGCUGAUCGCACGGUCUCGCACCGGCGACGCAUCUUUCAAAUGUCUGCCUUAUCAACUGUCGAUGGUAGGUUCUGCGCCUACCAUGGUUGUAACGGGUAACGGGGAAUCAGGGUUCGAUUCCGGAGAGGGAGCCUGAGAAACGGCUACCACAUCCAAGGAAGGCAGCAGGCGCGCAAAUUACCCACUCCCGGCACGGGGAGGUAGUGACGAAAAAUAACGAUACGGGACUCAUCCGAGGCCCCGUAAUCGGAAUGAGUACACUCUAAACCCUUUAACGAGGAUCAAUUGGAGGGCAAGUCUGGUGCCAGCAGCCGCGGUAAUUCCAGCUCCAAUAGCGUAUAUUAAAGUUGUUGCGGUUAAAAAGCUCGUAGUCGAAUCUGUGUCCCGCGCCGCCGGUUCAUCGUUCGCGGUGUUAACUGGCGUGCCGCGGGACGUCCUGCCGGUGGGCUUAGCUCGAGAGGGCGGCCCAACUCAAUCCCGCCGCGGUGCUCUUCAUUGAGUGUCGAGGUGGGCCGGCACGUUUACUUUGAACAAAUUAGAGUGCUUAAAGCAGGCUAAAACUUCGCCUGAAUACUGUGUCGCUCUCAUCNNNNNNNNUAAUAGAUGGAAUUAGGACCUCGGUUCUAUUUUGUUGGUUUUGGCCUNNNNNNNNGAGUAAUGAUUCACAUACGGAACGGAUGAGGGGCGGAUUCGUAUUGCGACGUUUGACAAC